AUUGAACGCUGGCGGCAUGCCUUACACAUGCAAGUCGAACGGCAGCGCGGGGCAACCUGGCGGCGAGUGGCGAACGGGUGAGUAAUAUAUCGGAACGUGCCCUGGAGUGGGGGAUAACGCAGCGAAAGUUGCGCUAAUACCGCAUACGAUCUAAGGAUGAAAGCAGGGGACCGCAAGGCCUUGUGCUCCUGGAGCGGCCGAUAUCUGAUUAGCUAGUUGGUGGGGUAAAGGCCUACCAAGGCAUCGAUCAGUAGCUGGUCUGAGAGGACG
rnacentral:rRNA from 1 species